rnacentral:rRNA from 1 species
AUGGUUAAGUUAGAAAGGGCGCACGGUGGAUGCCUUGGCACUAGGAGCCGAUGAAGGACGGGACGAACACCGAUAUGCUUCGGGGAGCUGUAAGCAAGCUUUGAUCCGGAGAUUUCCGAAUGGGGAAACCCACUGCUCGUAAUGGAGUAGUAUCCAUACUUGAAUACAUAGAGUAUGAGAAGGCAUACCCGGGGAACUGAAACAUCUAAGUACCCGGAGGAAGAGAAAGCAAAUGCGAUUCCCUGAGUAGCGGCGAGCGAAACGGGAACAGCCCAAACCAAGAGGCUUGCCUCUUGGGGUUGUAGGACACUCUAUACGGAGUUACAAAGGAAUGAUAUAAGCGAAGAGGUCUGGAAAGGCCCGCCAAAGAAGGUAACAGCCCUGUAACUGAAAUGUUAUUCUCUCCAGAGUGGAUCCUGAGUACGGCGGAACACGUGAAAUUCCGUCGGAAUCCGGGAGGACCAUCUCCCAAGGCUAAAUACUCCCUAGUGACCGAUAGUGAACCAGUACCGUGAGGGAAAGGUGAAAAGCACCCCGGAAGGGGAGUGAAAUAGAUCCUGAAACCGUGUGCCUACAAGUAGUCAGAGCCCGUUAACGGGUGAUGGCGUGCCUUUUGUAGAAUGAACCGGCGAGUUACGAUCCCGUGCAAGGUUAAGCAGAAGAUGCGGAGCCGCAGCGAAAGCGAGUCUGAAUAGGGCGCAUGAGUACGUGGUCGUAGACCCGAAACCAGGUGAUCUACCCAUGUCCAGGGUGAAGUUCAGGUAACACUGAAUGGAGGCCCGAACCCACGCACGUUGAAAAGUGCGGGGAUGAGGUGUGGGUAGGGGUGAAAUGCCAAUCGAACCUGGAGAUAGCUGGUUCUCUCCGAAAUAGCUUUAGGGCUAGCCUCAAGGUAAGAGUCUCGGAGGUAGAGCACUGAUUGGACUAGGGGCCCCUACCGGGUUACCGAAUUCAGUCCAACUCCGAAUGCCGAUGA